GAUGAACGCUAGCGGCAGGCCUAAUACAUGCAAGUCGAACGGUGUCUUCGGACAUAGUGGCGCACGGGUGCGUAACACGUAUGCAACCUACCUUACAUUGGGGGAUAGCCUUUCGAAAGGGAGAUUAAUACCGCAUAAGACAGGAGCUGGGCAUCCAGCAGCUGUUCAAGAUUUAACGAUGGAAGCUGGGCAUGCGUCCAAUUAGCUAGUGGGUGAGGUAACGGCUCACCAAGGCAAUGAUUGGUAGGGGAACUGAGAGGUCAAUCCCCCACACUGGCACUGAGGUACGGGCCAGCCUCCUACGGGAGGCAGCAGUAGGGAAUAUUGGGCAAUGGACGCAAGUCUGACCCAGCCAUGCCGCGUGCAGGAUGAAGGCGUUAUGCGUUGUAAACUGCUUUUAUACAGGAAGAAACGACUCUUGCGAGAGGCAUUGACGGUACUGUAUGAAUAAGCACCGGCUAACUCCGUGCCAGCCGCCGCAGUAACAC
rnacentral:rRNA from 1 species